ensembl:lncRNA
CUUUCGUAAAAACUCAAUAUCAAUUCCCCUCUCGUUGUUAUUUUGUCAUGUAUUCAUUAUUAUCGCUCAGGGGACUAUUAACUGGCGUACUGGCGUUUGCUUUUAAUCAGUCACCAGAAGUGGGGACUCUGCUGAUAACGCAGAUUACCAGACAACUCGUCGAAUAGUCAGUGGCACCCAAGUUUCAGCUGUGAGCCAAUGGAGGAGCCAGUGGUAGCAGGACAUGGGGCCUGUCUGCUGGAGGAGGAAGUUACCAAGUCGUGCCGGGACAGACAUGGACGCUGGACCAACCCCUGGCCCUCAUGGCAGUUCCCUUCCAAUGCCAGGCUGCUCAAGUUCCUGCUGUGGGACACAGACAACAGCAACGUGCCAACCAGCAAAGAGCCCUGCGCCGUUGGGCGGUGGACCAAAAAGGGUUUGCUUCGAGCACAGACGCGGA